UGCUGCCACCACCCUUCCUCCUCUCCUUCCAUUAUUCCCCUCCCCUAACCCUAGAAAUGGAAGAGGGGGGCCGGUCGUCCGCGGCGCCGUGGCUGCCGUCCAGAACGCUCGCCUGCGUGGAUGCGUGGUGCGAGGCUGGGGAUGCUGUCCCCGCGUUGCUGGUGGAGACGGAGACCCGGUGGCCGACCGACAUGUGCAGCACCGCCCGCAACUGCUUCCAUGGCUUCCUCGGCCACCUUGUGAUGGAGAUGCCUCCCUGCUUCACCAAUGCUAGGCUAGACCCCCUCCCCACCCAACAGGUUUACGCGUGCUUGUUUCCUUGCCUGAUGCGGAAGGGGAGGCUUGCAAGCAACCCCAAUCUGAAUGAAUUCAGUCAGGGUCAUGCAGGGGGUAAGGCAUCCCGAUGUGAUGCUUGCUUAUGUGGUUGCAGAUCGACUUGCGAUAUGUUAAGCGAAUCACCAUGUCACGCAAUGAGCAAUUAGAGAAGAGUGUUUCACAAAGGUGAGAUAAAUGAUGAUGUAAUAAUGGAUGCCUUCUGAAUGCUGCAUGUGCGGUUCCCGAAUUGGACCGUAUAUUUUUGCGAAGAUCUUCAAGUAUGGCAUUUGCUUAAUUCUCUAACAUGUGCCAUUUAAAGUUCCUCUCUUUGCUUCUAAUCAAUCAGUCUAGAUACUACUCCCUCCGUUCUUAAAUAUAAGUCUUUUAGAAAUUCCAAUGAGGACUACAUACGGAUGUAUAUAGACAUAUUUUGAAGUGUAGAUUCACUCAUUUUACUCUGUAUGUAGUCUAUAUUGGAAUCUCUAAAAGAACUUGCAUUCAAGAACAAAGGAAGUACUUUCUUAAGUUUUUGUGCAACAACAGAACUAACAAUUGUUUGUUCUGUUUACAUUCGAUGUCGGUUUCUUUCAUCUAUAUAUGUCACUCGCCUAGGUAUUAGCAUUAUGAGUUACAACAACCUACAUGGCCUGAAUUUUGGUAAGGCUAAGGUGACAAAAGUCUGAGAAAGUGGACGCUGGAAUAUUGUCUGGGGUCGUGUAGGUUUACAUUUUCAGCUCAUUGGCUAAAUAAAAUGGUGUCCGAAGUAGUUUAUCUAUUGCUUGGAGAAAUAGUUCUUGCGUCCCUUGAUUUGAGAAAUAGUUAUGUGGCGGCUCAAGAAGGGAUAGUAUGUUGGUGGCCUCAGUUCUGUAACAUAGAAGUUUUGCUUAAUUAAACAUCAUGUAGAUCUUCUUGCUUCGUGCAUUUUUUCAAUACUGAUCUUCUUGCUUCGUGCAUUUUUUAUUUCACUCGAUGUUGGAUGCUCUUCAUGUCCUUGAGGCCCUAGUCAUCGGCAUCGAUAGAACUAAUGGUCAGGUUGUAGCGCUUUUCUCCCUGUUGUUAUGUUAUUGGCCCCUGUGUUAAUGUUUGUUGUACAUUGUCCUUGAUUUUUUUUGCUCUGCCUUGCUGUGAAGGA